UUGAACGCUGGCGGCAUGCCUAACACAUGCAAGUCGCACGCGAAAGGGGGCAACCCCGAGUAGAGUGGCGGACGGGUGCGUAACGCGUAGGAAUAUACCUGGUAGUGGGGGACAACCCGGCGAAAGCCGGGCUAAUACCGCAUACGAUCCACGGAUGAAAGCAGGGGACCGCAAGGCCUUGCGCUAUCAGAUUAGCCUGCGUCGGAUUAGCUAGUUGGUGAGGUAAAGGCUCACCAAGGCAACGAUCCGUAGCUGGUUUGAGAGAACGACCAGCCACACUGGGACUGAGACACGGCCCAGACUCCUACGGGAGGCAGCAGUGGGGAAUAUUGGACAAUGGGGGCAACCCUGAUCCAGCAAUGCCGCGUGUGUGAAGAAGGCCUUCGGGUUGUAAAGCACUUUCGAUGGGGAAAAACAAGUCAGACCUAACACGUCUGGCCCUGAUGGUACCCAGAGAAGAAGCACCGGCUAACUCUGU
rnacentral:rRNA from 1 species